UACGUAGGGUGCAAGCGUUAAUCGGAAUUACUGGGCGUAAAGCGUGCGCAGGCGGUUUUGUAAGUCUGUUGUGAAAUCCCCGGGCUUAACCUGGGAAUGGCAAUGGAGACUGCAAGGCUGGAAUCUGGCAGAGGGGGGUAGAAUUCCACGUGUAGCAGUGAAAUGCGUAGAGAUGUGGAGGAACACCGAUGGCGAAGGCAGCCCCCUGGGCUAAGAUUGACGCUCAUGCACGAAAGCGUGGGGAGCAAACAGG
rnacentral:rRNA from 1 species